UCUAAGGUGGCUUGGACAGUAAAGAAUCUGCCUGCAAUGUAGGAGACCCAGGUUCGAUCCCUGGGUUGAGAA
rnacentral:tRNA from 1 species